rnacentral:tRNA from 1 species
UCCCAGGUGGCUUAGUGGUAAAAAAUCUGCCUGCUAAGCAGGAGACACGGGUUUGAUCCCUGUGUUGGGAA